rnacentral:rRNA from 1 species
UGCGCCUUGCCAGCCCGCUCAGAAACUUAAAGGAAUUGACGGGGGCCCGGCACAAGCGGUGGAGCAUGUGGUUUAAUUCGAUGAUACGCGAGGAACCUUACCUGGGCUCAAAUGUAUGUUGACGUAUUCUGAAAGGGAUACUUCUUCGGACAAUAUACAAGGUGCUGCAUGGUUGUCGUCAGCUCGUGCCGUGAGGUGUCGGGUUAAGUCCCAUAACGAGCGCAACCCCUACCUUUAGUUGCCAUCAGGUAAUGCUGGGGACUCUAAAGGAACUGCCUACGCAAGUAGUGAGGAAGGCGGGGAUGACGUCAAAUCAGCACGGCCCUUACGUCCAGGGCUACACACGUGCUACAAUGGCCGAUACAGAGGGCAGCUACCUGGUGACAGGAUGCAAAUCUCCAAAGUCGGUCUCAGUUCGGAUCGGAGUCUGCAACCCGACUCCGUGAAGUCGGAAUCGCUAGUAAUCGUGAAUCAGAAUGUCACGGUGAAUACGUUCCCGGGCCUU